GGCUAUCCGAACAUUCAGCAUAUCUUUUCUUCUCUAAAAUUCCAUACUAGUUCUCACGCUGGAGGUACAACGGAGAAGGAAGCCCCAACCACAUUUUGCAAGUAACAUUUGUUUGACGGAGUUGCAGAACCACCUAGCGCUGCCAAGAGGCACGAAGGUGUUGUUUCAUAACUAUUUCACCAAUCAAACAAUUUAUUUCAAUAAUUCAUUCUAUUAAACAAGUAUAGCUCGAAUUAACUAAACACGUCAGUAAGAGAUUAUGUGAUCAUCGAUUAUUAAGCAAAUUAGCCCAUGUUUGAGUCACAUUUUAGGAAAAAAUGCAUUAUUCAUGUCAAAUCAAUGAGAAAUGUGUGGUUAAAAAAUAAGAAAACGAUUUAGAUUUGCGUGUAAUAUUAUUUUGUUGAAGAAUGUGUGGUUAAAAUGAUGUCAAAUCACUGUUGAAAAAUGUAUUUUUUUGAAAACAAUGUGACUCAAACAAGCCGAAGAUUUGGGAUUGGGGAAUAUGUUGGAGUUGAAAGGGAAAAAAAAAAUUAAAUAAAAAAUAAGUUACCCAAUAUGUAAAUUGUCUUCUUUAUUAUCUUUUUUCUUAGAAGAAAUUUUGAAGAUGAAUUUUGAAAAUAAAAAUCUCCAAAAUUUUACGGGGCCCUAUGACCCCACUAGACCUUUCCUAGCUCCGCCACUAGGAGCAAUCUAACCUGGUAAAAACGAGUAGGAGGUAACUCACGAGAAGGAUUAUAGUUAUGAUGGGCUUCACAAAUUUUAUGAAUGAGUAUAGAGUGAUACGAAGUAUGAAGAAAACUCACGAGAAGGAGAAUUAAAUUAUUUCACUCUUAUUUGUUAAUUAUUUGUAAACAUGACCUUGUUGGUUUGCCCUUUUUGGCCCAUUUUCCGUUUUCCGUUUUCAAAAACUCGGAAAAUGCGUUUGGUCCGUUGUUUUUGAAAAUACAUUUUCGAAAACGAGUUAAAAUUUAUAACUGAAAACGCAAAAUGACUUUUUAGCGUUUUGAGCGUUUUCAGUUAUAAAUGUUGAAAACGCUCAAAACGUGAAAAACAGACCAUUUUCGGGAAAAACUAAAACUUGUUUUGAAAAUAAAAAUGGAAACCAACCGCACCCUAAGUUAUUCUAAACCGUAAAAAACAUAUAAAAUUUAACAUAAAUUGUAAUGUAUAGUAUUAUCCAAAAUUAUAACUCAACAUUUUAUAAAUCUGCUAAUUAAUAUUAAUGGGUUGAUACAUAAUCUAUGACUUCCCUCUUUCACGUGGUAAUCUACCAUUAUUUUGGUAACUGUUAGGGCUCGUAUCCGAAGCGAUCAAAGGAGGCCACGUUGAAGUCAUGUGGAGACACUACACAUAGACAUCUGGCAAUCAACGAAAUUGAAGCAGGUUUAAAGAGUAUCUUUAGGAAUGAUUGAUGUAACAUUUGCAUUAAUGAAUGUUAGAAGUGUCAGGACGGGAUGCAGGGCGAUUGAUCCCUUGUCAAUGUAAUUAAUGUAUAACAGAGAGUGAUGUGAGGCUCCGGCUGCUAGGAUGAGGCCUCGUGUUGUUGAUCCAACAACAACCACGUCGACCUUAACUCUAUAAAUAACAGCUCUUGUAAUAUGUAAAGGGAUUGGAAGAAAUGCAC
rnacentral:lncRNA from 1 species